CACACACACACACACACACACACACACACACACACACACACACACACACACACACACACACACACACACACACACACACACACACACACACACACACACACACAGCACAGCACUUCUCUCUGUCUGCCAGUUCUAACUGUACCUAGUUUAGGUGCAUUGUGAAUAGAUGAUCCAAUUACUGAAGACUCCACAGAGGUGUGAAUGGAAACAAAAAGAGACCUGUGUUAGACCUAUUUCAGUCAUUCCUUUUUCAACCUAGAUGCACUUUGAUAAGGGUUUAUAUCCCGGAUGGUGUUAAAGAUAUCCUUAUCUGACUUUUAAUGCAGCAAUAAGCCUAUAUUAUCAUAGUAUAAUAUUGAUGAUGUCACCUUCUGCGCCGCUCUCUCUCUCUUCCUGCCCAUCUCUCCCGCUUCGGUCUACCCGUCAAGUUUCUCUUCUUUACUGAAUGGAUACAAACUGUCAACAUAUAAUAGACCAUGAAUAAACCAUACGCUGGGUUACGUGAAAAGCACUGAAGAGCUGUUUGUGUGAAACGACUAACGGACUGUAGCAUUUUAUCCCAGCAUGUGUUAAUAGUCUCCACAGGAGAGGAAAUGUUUACUUCCAUAAAGAGAAAUCACUCAAAACAAACCUCAUAUCUUCAUAGUGGGACUCCCUGUGCAUCUAUCUAUUUCUUCAGAGAGAAUAGAGGAGACACUCAGCUGUGUGUUGUGUCGCUGUGUGUGUGUGUGUGUGUGUGUGUGUGUGUGUGUGUGUGUGUGUGUGUGUGUGUGUGUGUGUGUGUGUGUGUGUGUGUGUGUGUGUGUGUGUGUGUGUGUGUGCGCGCAUGUGUGUAAAGCUGUGAUAUGACUGUAUAAUAGGCAAUAUCAGGACCCAGCAGGAGGCCGGAACAAAGCCUGUGGGUUGGAUAAAGACGAGGAUGGAGGCCAGAGUGAGGACUGUGGGUUGGUUCGAGAUGGAUCCCAGCCAUGGUGACAGGUUUGUGAUGGCCAGAGUGUGGCUUGGGGGUUGGAUAGAGAUGGAUCUAGGGCCCGGUCCAAAAACAAACCCCUCUUUCUGCUUGUAUAGAUCCGAGAGGAUUGGAUUGGCAGGCUAGUCAAUAUGAUUGAAGUUCUAACAUUGCUUAUCAGUGGUGGUUACUACCGCUUUGCUUAUUACUUUACAAUAUUUCCACAAGUCUUAUAUAAUUUUAUCAUUGUUGUAUAGUGUUUUUUUAAAUAGGAUAUUGUUCAAUGAGGACUAGUGUUUUAUUUACAGUUGAUCAUUUAAGUACACCUGAAGUUAUAGUAGCAAGUCAAUGGCUUACACUCACUGGAUAGUUUAUUAGGUACACCGAUCUAGUACCGGGUCGGACUCCCCUUUGCCUCCAGAACAACCAGAAUUCUUCAGGGCAUUCUACAAGGUGUUCGGAAACAUUCCACAGGGAUGCUGGUCUGACGCGUUGGGAUCACGCAGUUUCUGCAGAUUGGAAGGCGGUACAUUCAUGCUGCGAACAGCCCGUUCUAUCUCAUCCAAAAUAUUCUCUUUUGGGUUGAGGUCUGGGGACUGCACAUGUCACUCAAGUAGAAUGUGGGCCUGGAGAUUUCAUCAUGGCUACACUCGAACCCUAGGUCAUCACGUCGCCUGGCUGAGAAAUCAGCUGCAAAAUGUAAAGAUGUAAACCAAAAUGUCAAAUGUAUUAUUUUAUUUGCACUUACUGAGUGCUGGCUUUAAUUGCUACCCAGGAAUAAUUUGAUAUUGAGAUCAAAAUGGCUGCGUUGGACACCACUGAAAGAUCACAUCCCAUUUCAAGGACACACUUUUUCUCCCUCCAGACGUAGAUUUGUGAAGAUUCUCACUCAUUUUCUCACCCAUAAUUGAAUUUAUUCCCUUUCUAAAUCUGUAGCCCGUCUGUCACUCACUGACACCUCCCGCUCUCACCUCACAUGCACACUUGCACAUAAGAAUAUAUAUUUUUUUAAAUAUUAUUUCUCCUUUAUUUAACCAGGUAGGCUAGUUGAGAACAAGUUCUCAUUUACAACUGCGACCUGGCCAAGAUAAAGCAAAGCAGUUCGACACAUUCAACAACACAGAGUUACACAUGGAAUAAACAAACAUACAGUCAAUAAUACAGUAGAAAAAGUCUAUAUACAGUGUGUGCAAAUGAGGUAGGAUAAGGGGGGUAAGACAAUAAAUAGGCCAUGGUGGCAAAGUAAUUACAAUAUAGCAAAUAAACACUGGAAUGGUAGAUGUGCAGAAGAUGAAUGUGCAAGUAGAGAUACUGGGGUGCAAAGGAGCAAGAUAAAUAAAUAAAUACAGUAUGGGGAUGAGGUAGUUGGAUGGGCUAUUUACAGAUGGGCUUUGUACAGGUGCAGUGAUCUGUGAGCUGCUCUGGCAGCUGGUGCUUAAAGCUAGUGAGGGAGAUAUGAAUUUCCAGCUUCAGUGAUUUUUGCAGUUCGUUCCAGUCAUUGGCAGCAGAGAACUGGAAAGAAAGGCGGCCAAAUGAGGAAUUGGCUUUGGGGGUGACCAGUGAGAUAUACCUGCUGGAGCGCGUGCUACGGGUGGGUGCUGAGAUAAGGCGGGGCUCGACCGAGCAGAGACUUGUUGAUGACCUGGAGCCAGUGGGUUUGGCGAUGAGUAUGAAGUGAGGGCGAGCCAACGAGAGCGUACAGGUUGCAGUGGUGGGUAGGAUAUGGGGCUUUGGUGACAAAACGGAUGGCACUGUGAUAGACUGCAUACAAUUUGUUGAGUAGAGUGUUAUUUUGUAAGGCUAUUUUGUAAAUGACAUCGCUGAAGUUGAGGAUCGGUAGUAUGGUCAGUUUUACGAGGGUAUGUUUGGCAGCAUGUGUGAAGGAUGGUUUGUUUGCAAAAUAGGAAGCUGAUUCUAGAUUUAAUUUUGGAUUGGAGAUGCUUAAUGUGAGUCUGGAAGGAGAGUUUACAGUCUAACCAGACACCGAGGUAUUUCCAGAGUAGUGAUCCUAGACGGGCGGACAGGUGUGGGCAGCGAUCGGUUGAAGAGCAUGCAUUUAGUUUACUUGCAUUUAAGAGCAGUUGGAGGCCACAGAAGGAGAGUUGUAUGGCAUUGAAGCUCGUCUGGAGGUUAGUUAAGACCAUGUCCAAAGAAGGGCCAGAGGUAUACAGAAUGGUGUUGUCUGCGUAGAGGUGGAUUAGAAAAUCACCAGCAGCAAGAGCGACAUCAUUGAUGUAUACAGAGAAGAGAGUCGGCUCGAGAAUUGAACCCUGUGGCACCCCCAUAGAGACUGCCAGAGGUUCGGACAACAGGCCCUCCGAUUUGACACACUGAACUCUAUCUGAGAAGUAGUUGGUGAACCAGGCGAGGCAAUCCUUUGAGAAACCAAGGCUGUUGAGUCUGCUGAUAAGAAUGUGGUGAUUGACAGAGUCGAAAGCCAUGGCCAGAUUGAUGAAUACGGCUGCUAGAAAAGCAGGGUAGGAUAGAUAUUGGUCUGGAGCCGUUUGGGUCUGGAGUGUCUCCACCUUUGAUGAGGGGGAUGAUCACGGGAGCUUUCCGAUACUUGGGAAUCUCGGACGAUACCAAAGAGACGUUGAACAGGCUAGUAAUAGGGGUUGCAACAAUUUCGUCAGAUAAUUAUAGAACGAGAUGGUCCAGAUUAUCUAGCCCGGCUGAUUUGUAGGGGUCCAGAUUUUGCAGCUCUUUCAGAACAUCAGCUAUCUGGAUUUGAGUGAAGGAGAAAUGGGAAGGCUUGGGCGAGUUGCUAUGGGGGGUGGAGGGCUGUUGAUCAGGGUAGGGGUAGCCAGGUGGAAAGCAUGGCCAGCCGUAGAAAAAUGCUGAUUGAAAUUCUCAAUUAUAGUGGAUUUAUCGGUGGUGACAGUGUUUCCUAGCCUCAGUGCAGUGGGCAGCUGGGAGGAGGUGCUCUUAUUCUCCAUGGACUUUACAGUGACCCAGAACUUUUUUGAGUUUGUGGUACAGGAUACAAAUUUCUGCUUGAAAUUUUACCAGAGAAGUGACAGAUUAAUGACAAUGUGAUAAAUAGAAAACUAUUUGCAGAUAUUCUUAGAGCAUAAAAGGCCAUAUUCUGUAAUUCACUUCAGUUAUUUUUGGAAACAACGACGAUACUGGGAAUACUUGUAAUGUAAUCUUAUCUCAGAAAAGCAUUUCUGCGUGUCAUCUCUUCUCCCUCGCCUCUGCCCUACUGACUAUCUGCCCACCUGCUGCAUGCUUCACUUGUGUCAAGCUCUCUUCUCGCUCUUGUCUCAUUUACAGCUGAGGUAUUCCACAACAGCCUGACUGCCAUAAUCUGCUCUCCUCGUCUCGCCUUGCCUCAUUUUAUGCUCUAAAUCCAGACCUCAAAUACUCCAGGGUUUCUGUUGAUUCACUCCUCUCCCUCGUUUCUGUGUUGACAGAGAAACACUCAAAAGUCUCUAGUAAUGCUAUAGGGAACCUUGAGCCAGUGGAUUACGUGUACUGUCCAGGCAUUUUUAGGAUGGUGACGUUACGGCAUGGUUUGACAUAUUAAUUCCAUGACAAAUUUCAACCAUCUUCUAGGGGCAUCGCGAGUGCCUGUUACCAUCUUGUAGGCUCAAGCGAGGGCAUUGUGGGUGGGAGUGUGGACCGGCUUAAACUGUGGGCUAUAGCUACAAACAUCUCGGGUCCAAUCCCGGUGCUAAGCACUCCUUUUUAAAUUGUUGUUUCUCUCUUUUAACCCUAACCCAAACCUUAAACAGUGACUGCCCCGGAAAAAUUGAAUCAAAAACAAAUCAAAUUGUAUUAGUCCCAUGCACAUAUUUAGCAGAUGUUAUUGUGGGUGUAGCGAAAUGCUCGUGUUCCUAGCUCCAACAGUGCAGUAGUAUCUAACAAUGAUUCACAACAAAACACACAUAUCUAAAAGUAAAAUAAUAGGAUUAAGAAGCGUAUACAUAUUAUAUCGAGCAAUGUCGGAGUGGCAUUGACUAAAAUAGAAUAGAAUACAGUAUAUGCAUAUCAAAUGAGUAAAGAAGUAUGUCAACAUUAUUUAAACAUUAUUAAUGUGACUAGUGUUCCAUUAUUAAAGUGGCCAGUGAUUCCAAGUCUAUGUAUAUAGGGCAGCAGCCUCAGGUGCUGGGUUGCAUAACUGGGUGGAAGCCGGCUAGUGAUGGCUAUUUAACAGUCUAUUGGCUUAAGAUAGAAGCUGUUUUUCCAUCUCUCGGUCACAGCUUUGAUGCACCUAUGCACCUAUACUGACAUUUCCUUCUGGAUGAUAACCGGGUGAACAGGCCAUGGCUCUGGUGGUUGAAGUCCUUGAUUAUCUUUUUGGUCUUCCUAUUGUAAUGAAUGUGAAAUGGCUAGCUAGUUAGCGGUGGUGCGCGCUAAUAGCAUUUCAAUCGGUGACGUCACUCGCUUUGAGACCUUGAAGUAGUGGUUCCCCUUGCUCUGCAAGGGCCGCGGCUUUUGUGGAGUGAUGGGUAACGAUGCUUCGUGGGUGACUGUUGUUAAUGUGUGCAGAGGGUCCCUGGUUUGCGCCCGGGUAGGGGCGAUGGGACGGUCUAAAGUUAUACUGUUACACUAUGACAUUGUGUGCUGUAGGUGUCCUGGAGGUGUCUCGUCUAAAAUGUAGUUUUGGAACCUGAGUACGUCACAACAAGUAAAUGGAGGUUGGGUUUGGAUUUCAAUAAUUUUUACAAUUCAUGCCCCCUUUUGCGAAACUCCAAGUGCAAAUCACCCCUCCACCCACUUAGCUUCCCUCCAUUGAAUGGGGCUCCGUUGUUUCAUGCACCUAAGCACGUUCAAAGGAUCAUGACCGUUUGAGACUGCUGAAGGACCCUAUCAUGCAGAAUAUGUGGUUGGAGAUCAUUGGUCCCCAAUUCUGUACCAGUAACACUACCUUACUUGAAUAAAUUGAAAUUAUCUUAGCUAACAACGUUAAAUAACAUUAUUGCUGGUUGUAUAGUUAGCUAUCUUUGAUAACGCAAGGAAGGCUAGCUAAAAUUUUAGCUAAUGUUAGCGUAACUAGCUAGAUAACAAGCUCGAUAACUAGCUAGUUAACUUCCUCAAUACAACUUAGUUAGGUCGAAGCUCAUACAGGAUUGGUAUUGUCGAGAUGCUGCUGGUUAUGAACCAUAUCAUUUGAUAAUGCUAGAAAGGCAGGCUAGCUAGCUAGCUACAGGUGCCCUCAGGCCCAUACUCCGCUACUUUGAUGGUUUUUAAUGCUUUACUGGGAAGCUUAUCAGAAGUAGACUUCCUCAUGUUAUUUAUAUUGGAGCUGGGUGCAGGUGAGCUGCGCAAAGUGGUCUUCCUACUAGGGCACACCGCUUCAGUGUAACAGUGUAACUCUGGUUCAAAGGCUCAUGAUUACUGUAUACAAUAGCUGUAGGAUCAACAGAGGUAUUCGGGGGAAUUAGGGGGACAUAAAUUAAGUUACUUACAUUGUGUCUGCCAAUGCCCCUAGCAUAAUGUACAUUUGAUGCAGCAUUAUGAAGACUCAUUGUCACAAUGGUAGGGGUUAACUGAGCUGGUCUUGGGUCAUUGAUAAGUAAUUGUUUCCAGAGUCCAGGAGCCAAGAUGAUUUGGAUGGAGUCCGUCAGUAUCGUCUGUUUCCAGAAGGUGUGUAAGAUGUGUAAUGCCAGUAGCCUGCAGAAUCUUUCACACCCGAGGCCCAACGAUGGUACUGGACCUGAAAUGAUUGUCCGUUUUUCGUCUUUUAAUGCUAAAAGCAGUUCUUUAAAAUACAUUUUCAGAUGUUCCGAGCUCGGCCUCCUGAUGUCGUUUGACCCCACAUAGGUUUACGACAGUGUCAGCUCCCGGGCAUCUAUCGUAGAACAGUCGGAAACAGCCUUGUUAUGUCCUGUACUCGUGCUCCUGGGUAGCACAGAGUUUUUGACUUGGGGACCGAGAUGUUUCUCACCAUAGAGCUGCCUAUGAUGACAGCUGGCGAUGCUAAAUGGGCCGGUCUCUCAGGCAGCCUCACGGUCUGGUGAGAGUGGGAGCUCAGAGGAUCUGAACCCGAGGUAGAAGCCACCAGAGAGGGAGACAGAACAGAGGACGAAUACGCAGGAACAUCUGGAUCCGGGGCGUCAAAGACGUUCCGUCCGGGCUCAACAUCUCCAAACAGACCCUCAUUAUCAUAGGACGCUUUCUUCGACUUCCACGGCGAGUGACGUAUCUCCAUGGCUGGUUGGGGUCGAGAACAGCUCCGUUCUCCAGGGAAUGAGUCGGGGUCUCCCCCCUUCGUUCUACAGCUCCAUUCUCCAGUUGGCAGCCGCACAUGUAACAUAGAGAAGACCAGCAAGGGGACCCUCAACAUCACGCAGGCAUGCCCUCACUGUGAGCUGUAAAUGGAGCAGGGAGGACACUUGAAUCAGUAUGUUUGAUGAGGGGCCAGAAGCUGAUCUAUGCUGCCAUGCCCAUCAAUGUGGCGCUGGCAAAGACCUCACCUCCAGACCUCACCUCCAGCUUCACCCCUCACCAAUGGUCGUCAAUGGGGAGACCGGGAUUAGAUGCAUCUAUGGAACCAGCACUUGGAGACUUGCAAGAUGAUGUGAUGUAGUUCUGACCGACAGAGAGGCUUGAUACUGACGUCUCUGAAUGGAGAGAGACCUGGCACUCAACACAUCCCCAAUGUGGUGACUAGUAAUUAUACAGUACAGCAGAAAUGUCCAGUAUUUGCAACACCCUUUCAUUCCAUGAGUAACUGAUAUACUCUGCCUAUUUAUACAGAUGGAGAGAUCUGUAGAUGCUUUUGCCAGACGACAGCCUCGGUCAUUUGAUGGGGAGUCUAUAAUUGAGUAGCUAUUAUCUGACCUGUUCAAACAUUAUCAUACUACCUGUUUGUGUUUCAGAUAUUACAUAUCCUAACUGCCAUUGGUAAUGGAACAAUGACUAUGUGUUUAUGUGUUCACAGAAACAUGUAUUGAGCCAGCACAUGGAGACUUGCAAGAUGCGAUGAAGUCCAGACUGAGAGACGGGCUUGAUAAUGUUGUCUCUGAAUGGAGAGAGACCUGGCACUCUGCAUUACAAUUUUACUAGACAUAACUUUGACUUGUAUUGUCUUUUUUUUUAUUAAAUUGAAUGGUAUC